GGCGCGGCCUCUUCCCUGGCAGCUCUGGGGACUCUGGUUUAGUUCCCCUGGGGGCACAGGAUGCUGGGGAGGGUCCGAAGGGUCUUUUUUUUAGGGUGCAGAUAAAAGGAUCGAAUUGAGUGAAGAUUAAGACGGAGAAGAUGGCGCCUCUGCAGUGCAGCAAAGAAAAGCUGUGUGGAGGCUGCAGCCUAGUGAAAUCCACCCACCACUAGGUACCCACUGAUGGUAAUGCUGGCCUGCUGGCUGAACCCCAGAUUGCCAUGUUCUGUGGCAGACUGAACAUGCACAUGAAUGUCCAGAAUGGGAAGUGGGAUUCAGAUCCAUCAGGGACCAAAACCUGCAUUGAUACCAAGGAAGGCAUCCUGCAGUAUUGC
rnacentral:ncRNA from 2 species